AUAAUGAUACUUCCGUCCAGUCACAGCCCCUUAAGAAGGGAUCACGCAAUGAGGGCGGCUCGGAGAGAUCCUCGGAGGGGAUAAAUCCCAUGA
ncrna:unclassified sequences pemK RNA